rnacentral:rRNA from 1 species
CAAGUCGAACGGUAGCACAGGUAGCAAUACUGGGUGGCGAGUGGCGCACGGGUGCGUAACACGUAUGUAACUUGCCCCUGACUGGGGAAUAGCCCGGAGAAAUUCGGAUUAAUGUUCCAUAAUAUAACGAAGUGGCAUCACUUUGUUAUUAAAGUAUUACGGUCAGGGAUAGACAUGCGUUCGAUUAGCUAGUUGGCGGGGUAACGGCCCACCAAGGCUACGAUCGAUAGGGGACCUGAGAGGGGUAUCCCCCACACUGGUACUGAGACACGGACCAGACUCC